AUAAAAAUUAAAUGGGAAUAAUAUUAUAUUGAGAUAUUUAAUACUAUUUAGAAGAAUUAAAAAUAAAUUUGAUUUUGUAUUGUUUUAAUCUAAAUUAUAUUCAAUAAUCCUUGAAAAUUAAAAGUGAUUGAUGUUAACAUAUGAAGUUUAAAAUGGUCGUACUCAUCACCGCAUCAGGUCUCUAAGGUGAAAAGCCUCUAGUUGAUUAGAAAUAAUGCAGGUAAGGAAAGUCGGCAAAUUAGAUCCGUAACUUCGGGAAAUGGAUUGGCUCAUAAAAUUAUAAAAUAAUAAAAUAAUUUUUUUUAUUUUGUUAUUUAAAUUAAUUAUGAACUGAUACGAUCAUGGGGAAUCCGACUGUUUAAUUAAAACAAAGCAUUGCGAAACUUUUAACUAGUAUUUUACGUAAUGUGAUUUCUGCUCAGUGCUCUGAAUGUCAAAGUGAAGUAAUUCAA
rnacentral:rRNA from 1 species